rnacentral:rRNA from 1 species
UACAGAGGGUGCGAGCGUUAAUCGGAAUUACUGGGCGUAAAGCGCAUGUAGGUGGUUUAAGAAGUUUGAUGUGAAAGCCCUGGGCUUAACCUGGGAAUGGCGUUGAAAACUAGUAGACUAGAGUCGGACAGAGGGUAGUGGAAUUUCCGGUGUAGCGGUGAAAUGCGUAGAGAUCGGAAAGAACACCAGUGGCGAAGGCGGCUACCUGGGUCCAGACUGACACUGAGGUGCGAAAGCGUGGGGAGCAAACAGG